GGGGGUAUAGCUCAGUGGCAGAGCAUUUGACUGCAGAUCAACUGGUCCCUUGUUCAAAUCCAGGUGCCCCCU
rnacentral:tRNA from 2 species